ensembl:lncRNA
AUUGAUAGGUCCCAAGACCUUCCAAAUGCAAUUUCUUCUCCAUGUACCACUGCAUAGCACAGCAACACUGGGCUCACUCACAAGCUGGGUGCUCCCUACUUCAGAUCAGCCUUCCAUAACUGGGAGUUCUAGCCUGUGCUGUGGUGAAAGUGUCAAAUUACUGCAAUGCUUGAACUCCUUAAAUAGCUGAAAGACCAAAUAUUGAAUCUGCAAAAUUAGUAGUAAUGUAGUAUUUGACUUCUAGUGCAAGGAGACAAAGUUUACCUCCAUUUCUGACCCUCAUAUGAUCUUGUGUAAGCUAUUCAACCUCUCUUGUGAAGUAUGAAGAUAAAAAUGGCAUGAUGUUACUGAAAGUGUUUAGUAGAUUAUAAAGUGCUACAUGAAGGAACAGUAUCAUGGUAAUGCAGGCGACUGGUCUGAUAAGUAACUAUGUUAAACUCCAAAGCAUUUCCCACCAAUUCUCAGAGGUCUAUUUUCUCAGAGUUAUUUCUGGCCUUCUCCUACUGCUUCCUCUAGAUUCCAUAUCUGUAUCAUUUCAGGUGCUCUACUUGCUGUUAGUCAGCUUUUCAUCACUGACUAAACACCUGAGAAAAACAAUUUGAAAAAGGAAAGAUUUAUUUUGGCUCAUUGUUUCAGAGGUUUCAGUGCAUGGUGGGCUGGCUCCAAUGCGGAAACAUCAUGGCAGAAGGGUGUUGUAGAGGAGAGCUGCCCACCUUACAGUACCCAGGAAGCAGAGUGAGAGGAACAGAGCCCAAGGAGAGAUACAUCCUUCAAUGGAUUAACCCAUUGAUGAGGUCAGGGCCUUCAUAAUCCAGGCAUCCCUGUAGGCCACACCUCUAAACAUUGCUGCAUUGGGAAUCAAGUGGCCAAUUGAUAAGUCUUUAAGGGACAUUUCAUAUUUAAACCAUAACUGUACUCCAAAUAUAUGUGAAUCUGCAUGUGGAAUGUGUGCCCACUCCUCAAGUCCCACCCAUAAAACUUCACAUAAGGCCUGUGCUUAUGGAAAACUUUAGUAAGAGUUUUGAGGAGGCAGACUAGGUUUACAUAACAGAAACUCCAAAUAAGUUAAAACUGAGGCUAAGUCUCACCUGCUUGAAAAUUCCUUUGGCCUUUCUACCAUCUAAGUAAAGUUCUCCUGGCUGUACUCUAAGAGAUUUUCUUCUCACAAACCAGAAAUGUAGCACAACUGUAGCAAAGAUUGUACAUACCCCCAGUACUCUCCCCUAGCACUGAUCACCCACAUGAUCCCAUCCUGCAUGCAUGGGGGAGACUUCUUGCUGUGGGCAAUGGGCCAUGGUGCCAGGAAACUGAUGUUCUCAGGGAGCAGCCCUCAGCAGUGAUAGAUGGGGUGAAGGACAAAAUCUUCCUCACUCCUGAAUCUUCCAGGAGUGGAAGAACCUUCCUCACCCCUGGAGGUGGGGGAAGGUGGAGGAAAGGAGUCACUUUGAGGUAUUUUCUAUCCUUAUCUACCAGAUUUCCCCAGUGGAACUGGCUCCAAUUGCCCACAGUGGCAAUCUACUUCAUAAUGCACAGAAAUUGGCUCCCAGGCCUGUCCCUACUCCCCCAUCCCCUCAAUCCUGGCCCUAGAGCUUCCUAGAUUCAUCCCUCAAAUAAACUACUUCUAGUCAAAUCUUUGUUUUAGCUAUUGCUGUGGUUGAAUUGUGUUUCUACCCCUAAAAAUGUUGAAGUCUUAAUCCCUGGCACCUGUGAAUAUGACCUUAGGAGGAAAAAGGGACUUCACAGAUCUACAUAAUGAAGUUAAGCUGAGCUCCUCCAUUAUAAGGGUGGGCUCUGAUCCAGUAUGAUUGGUGUCCUUAUAAUAAGAGUAGAGUGAACAUACAUGAAGAGGAGAAUCCACGUGAAGAGACCACAGGCAGAGGAAGAGCCACGAGACAACAGAAGCCAAGUAUCUACAAACCAAGAAAUAACAAGGAUUUCUGGUGACUCAAGAAGCUAAGAAAAAGGUGGGGGCUUGCUGUGUUUGCUAGGCUGGUCUUGAACUUGUGGGCUCAAGUGAUCUUCCUGCGUCAGCCUCUCAAGUAGCUGGGACUACAGGCCCAUGAAGUAUGCUGCUGGGAUUUCAAUUGGGAUCACAUUGAAUCUAUGUAGCAAUUUUGAUGUUCAACAUUCCAAAGACUGCCUUACAAUUGGCAUUUUGGAAUUGUUUGAGAUGAAAAGAGCUUCUCUCCAUUUAUGAGUGUUCCUCAGACCUGCUAUGUCAAAGAAUUCUGGUGAGUUACACUUUCCAGUUCACAUGUCACUCUUCAGAACCCUUAGUACUGCAGCACACUAGAAAUAUGGCAAUAUGCUGGAACAAUCAGGACUUCCAUGUGUUCAUAUGCAGACCGAGUUUAUAUAAUGUCAUUUUAAUUAUAGCUUGGGAACUUAUUGAAACGAGGAUCAUAAUAGUCAAUAUGUCUUCAAUCAACAGUGAAGUAAACUCUACUUCUUUCUGGUAGUUAGCAUGUGUUUUAGUCUGUUUUCUGUUGGUAUAACAAAAGAUCACAGUCUGGGUAACUUGUAAAGGAAAGAAAUUUGUUUUGGCUCAUAGUUCUUGAGGCCGGGAAGCCCAAGAGCAAGACACCAGCAUCUGGUUGGCAUCUGGUGAAGGUUUCUCACUGCAUUAUAGCAUAGUGAAGGGAAAAAGAGAUGAGAGAGGAAGCAAGAGACAGCAUAGGAAGCCAUACUUGCUGUUAUAAUAACCUGUUCUCAUGAUACCUAACCUCCUCCCACAAGAACC